rnacentral:rRNA from 1 species
CUCAGAUUGAACGCUGGCGGCAUGCCUUACACAUGCAAGUCGAACGGUAACAGGUCUUCGGAUGCUGACGAGUGGCGAACGGGUGAGUAAUACAUCGGAACGUGCCCGAUCGUGGGGGAUAACGAAGCGAAAGCUUUGCUAAUACCGCAUACGAUCUACGGAUGAAAGCGGGGGAUCUUCGGACCUCGCGCGGACGGAGCGGCCGAUGGCAGAUUAGGUAGUUGGUGGGAUAAAAGCUUACCAAGCCGACGAUCUGUAGCUGGUCUGAGAGGAUGAUCAGCCACACUGGGACUGAGACACGGCCCAGACUCCUACGGGAGGCAGCAGUGGGGAAUUUUGGACAAUGGGCGCAAGCCUGAUCCAGCCAUGCCGCGUGCAGGAUGAAGGCCUUCGGGUUGUAAACUGCUUUUGUACGGAACGAAAAGGUGCCUUCUAAUAAAGGGCGCUCAUGACGGUACCGUAAGAAUAAGCACCGGCUAACUACGUGCCAGCAGCCGCGGUAAUACGUAGGGUGCGAGCGUUAAUCGGAAUUACUGGGCGUAAAGCGUGCGCAGGCGGUUUUGUAAGACAGAGGUGAAAUCCCCGGGCUCAACCUGGGAACUGCCUUUGUGACUGCAAGGCUGGAGUGCGGCAGAGGGGGAUGGAAUUCCGCGUGUAGCAGUGAAAUGCGUAGAUAUGCGGAGGAACACCGAUGGCGAAGGCAAUCCCCUGGGCCUGCACUACGCUC